UCCUCUUUUCUGGGUCCCGCCUGCUGGCGCGGGAUCUCGGCCGGGUGGUCGGUUCUCGCGAGUUCCUUGUCGCUUUUGGUGCUGGGAGAUUCCUUUCAGAGCCAGACGCGAGAGCGGAGGCUUGGAUCUUCCUUCGAGCGGUUGCUGGCUGCACCGGGUGUGUGACGAGCUGUGGGACCCAGCUCUGAGGAAAAAGUAAAGCAUACCUGGGAGAUUCCAUGCCCAGUGGGGAACCCAAUGCAGGGCUUGAACUCACGACUCUGAAAUCAAGGGUUGGACACUUAUACUGAGCCACCCAGGCACCCUAAAGCUUAUGUCUUAAACAGAAGAGUAGUGAACAGAUGGAUGAGGGAUGACAUGUCAGUUUCUCAAUCUAAAGCGCUGGCUAAGACAACUAUGCUUCUCACCUUCCUUCAAUAACCUCAAAGCUGGAUUGUUUUUGGUGACCAAUCCUAUUGCCACACCUGCGACAGCAGAUGAAAUUGGAACUCCUAUAAUUGAGAAGAAGAGCUUGUAUGUAAUGUGUACAUCAACCUAACACACACAUUUAUCAUUCUGUUCAUUAUUCAUUCUGUUGAUAUUUAAUGUAAGUGAGUGCUAUUUUAAAUUUGACAUCAUCAGAGCCAAGCUGGAAAGGUCAUCUAUCUACCUCAUUUCUUCUUAAGCAUAUGAAAAAAGCCCCUUAAAACAAACAGGUAACCACUUUUCUCACAAAAAUCUCUAUAAAAAUAGCACACUUAACUCUUAAUAGAAUCCAUUUGUCUUUUUACUUUUGGUAUGUUUAUCUUCUUUUUUUGGAAAUGUAACCAUGUUAAUGGUAAAUCCCUCCAGCCUAAACCCCUCAUCUCACCUCUCCAUGAAAGCCAUCAGUAGGUUUUUUUGUGGUGUAUCCUCCCAGAAAAUUUGUGCCCAAAUAUGAACCAAAGUGUAAUCUUUUGUUCUCUUUACUUAUGGAAUCAUAGUGAAUGUGCUCACUAUUCAGCACCUUGCUUUUUUCCACUUAAUAACAUAUCUUGGAUAACGACACAUAAUGCCACACAAAGUUCCACCUUAUUUUUUUGAAUGGCUGCUCAGUACUCCCUGAAUGGAUUUAUAAGCCACAUAAUAGAAGUGGGAUUACUAGGUCAAAAGGUAUGUGGGUUUACAUUUAUUAUAAAUCUGUCAAACUGCCUUCCAGAGUGUAGCAUUUUAUAUUUCUACCAGCUGUAUUUGAGGGUGCCUGCUGCUCUACUUUCUUGUCAAUUCCUGUCAGAUCUUUUGACCUUUGUUAUAUAAAGGGCAAAAAUGGUAGCUUAUUGUUUUUAAUUUGAUGUUUUUAUGAGUGAGAUUAAACUUUUUUUAAUGUUUAUAAACUGUUUAUUUAAUUAAUUAAUUUAUUUAGGCUCCAUGCCCAGCUAUGGAGCCCAAUGCAGGGCUUGAACUCACAACACUGAGAUCAAGACCCAUGAUGAGAUCAAGAGUUGGACGCUUAACCAACUGAGCUACCCAGGCACCCCUUAUAUUUCUUUUUCUGUGAAUUGCCUGUUCAUGGCUUUCAACCAUUUUCCUACUUGUUUGUUAGUCUUUUUUCUUAAUGAUUUAUAAAAGCUCUUUCAACAUGGACAGUACAUCUUUGUUAAAUAUAAAUGUAGACUAUUAAAGGAAAUAUAUUAUUUUCCUAGUCAGUUGACUUUGUUUAUUGUGAUUUAUUUUCCUGUAUAGAAUUUUAAAGGUGUAUGUUAUCAUGGUUCCUGGAUUUUGCUUAGAAAGGUUUUUCCUAAGAUUUUGAUAAAAUUUUCCAUGUUUCUUUUUUUUUUUUUAACAAAACAUUUAAGGUUUUAUCACUUGGAAUUUAACUGUUAAAAAGGAUUGUGGCGGGGGAUAUCAUUUCAUAUUCUCUAAGCAAUCUCACUUAUGAUCUUGGUUUUUAACCAUAACCUAUAAUGUUGAUGACCUAAAAAAAUCUCUCUCUCCUGCCUAUUUCUCUUUACUACUAAGCUCUAGAGCUGUAUAGCCAAUAUGGCUAUUGGACACUUCCAGCUAAAUGUCCCCAAAGCAUGUUUUAUGUAUGUACAUAUAUAUAAAAUGUAAUCAUACCCAAUAAA